rnacentral:rRNA from 1 species
UACGAAGGGUGCAAGCGUUACUCGGAAUUACUGGGCGUAAAGCGUGCGUAGGUGGUUUGUUAAGUCUGUUGUGAAAGCCCCGGGCUCAACCUGGGAAUGGCAAUGGAUACUGGCUCGCUAGAGUGCGGUAGAGGAGAGUGGAAUUCCCGGUGUAGCAGUGAAAUGCGUAGAGAUCGGGAGGAACAUCAGUUGCGAAGGCGGCUCUCUGGACCAGCACUGACACUGAGGCACGAAAGCGUGGGGAGCAAACAGG